rnacentral:lncRNA from 1 species
CUUCUCCACGUAUUAACCAAGGCCCAAGACUGGCUCAACUUCUCCACGUAUUAACCAAGGCCCAAGACUGGCUCAACUUCUCCACGUAUUAACCAAGGCCCAAGACUGGCUCAACUUCUCCACGUCGUAACCAAGGCCCAAGACUGGCUCAACUUCUCCACGUAUUAACCAAGGCCCAAGACUGGCUCAACUUCUCCACGUAUUAACCAAGGCCCAAGACUGGCUCAACUUCUCCAUGUAUUAACCAAGGCCCAAGACUGGCUCAACUUCUCCACGUAUUAACCAAGGCCCAAGACUGGCUCAACUUCUCCAUGUAUUAACCAAGGCCCAAGACUGGCUCAACUUCUCCACGUAUUAACCAAGGCCCAAGACUGGCUCAACUUCUCCACGUACUAACCAAGGCCCAAGACUGGCUCAACUUCUCCACGUAUUAACCAAGGCCCAAGACUGGCUCAACUUCUCCACGUAUUAACCAAGGCCCAAGACUGGCUCAACUUCUCCACGUGAUUAACCAAGGCCCAAGACUGGCUCAACUUCUCCACGUAUUAACCAAGGCCCAAGACUGGCUCAACUUCUCCAUGUAUUAACCAAGGCCCAAGACUGGCUCAACUUCUCCACGUAUUAACCAAGGCCCAAGACUGGCUCAACUUCUCCAUGUAUUAACCAAGGCCCAAGACUGGCUCAACUUCUCCACGUAUUAACCAAGGCCCAAGACUGGCUCAGGUCAGUGGUUUGGUGGUCUCUAUUAUUUGUGAUUCAAUCAAAAGUCUUCACCAGUCUAUUACACCACAGAGAGUGGUGUAUAUUUAUGGAUGCCAGAAUAUCUUUCGCCUCUAUGUUUAAUACAUUUGUCUAGGUCCAAAAGGCUGUUUAACAGCUUCUACCCCAAAGCUGUAAGACUGCUGAACAAUUCAUCAAAUGGCCACCUGGCCACCCCCCCGCAACUCGCUGUUUAUUAUCUAUGCAUAGUCAUUUUACCCCUACCUAAUGUACAAAUGACCUCGACUAUCCUGUACCCCCGCACACUGACUCGGUACCGGUACCCCCUAUACAUAGCCUUGUUAUUGUUAUGUAAGUUUAUUGUGUUGCUUUUUUUUCUCCCCCCCUUUAUGUUAUUUAGUAAAUAUUUUCUUAACUCUAUUUUUUGAAAUGCAUUGUUGGUUAGGGGCUCAUUAGUAAGCAUUUCACUGUAAGGUCUACACCGGUUGUAUUCGGCGCAUGUGACAAAUAACAUUUUAUUUGGGGAGUUUCUCCCAUUCUUCUCAGCAGACCCUCUCAAGCUCUGUCAGGUUGGAUGGGGAGCGUCGCUGCACGGCUAUUUUCAGGUCUCUCCAGAGAUGUUCGAUCGGAUUCAAGUCCGGGCUCAAAAACAUUAAGAGACUUGUCCCGAAGCCACUCCUGCAUUGUCUUGGCUGUGUGCUUAGGGUCGUUGUCCUGUUGGAAGGUGAACCUUCACCCCAGUCUGAGGUCCUGAGCGCUCUGGAACAGGUUUUCAUCAAGGAUCUCUCUGUACUUUGCUCCAUUCAUUUUUCCCUCGAUCCUGACUAGUCUCCCAGUCCCUGCCGCUGAAAAACAUUCCCACAGCAUGAUGCUGCCACCACCAUGCUUCACUGUAGGGAUGGUGCCAGGUUUCCUCCAGACGUGAAGCUUGGCAUUCAGGGUAAAGAGUUCAAUCUUGGUUUCAUCAGACCAAAUAAUCUUGUUUCUCAUGGUCUGAGAGUCCUUUUAAGUGCCUUUUGGCAAACUCCAAGCGGGCUGUCAUGUGCCUUGCACUGAGGAGUGGCUUCCGUCUGACCAUUCUACCAUAAAGGCCUGAUUGGUGGAGUGCUGCAGGGAUGGUUGUCCUUCUGAAAGGUUCUCCCAUCUCCACAGAGGAACUCUGGAGCUCUGUCAAAGUGACUAUCAGGUUCUUGGUCAGCUCCCUGACCAAAGCCCUUCUCCCCCGAUUGCUCAGUUUGGCCAGGCAGCUCUAGGAAGAGUCUUGGUGGUUCUAAACUUCUUCCAUUUAAGAAUGAUGGAGGCCACUGUAUUCUUAAGGACCUUCAAUGCUGCAGACAUUUUUUGGGUACCCUUCUCCAGAUCUGUGCCUCGACACAAUCCUGUCUCGGAGCUCUAUAGACAAUUCCUUCAACCUCGUGGUUUGGUUUUUGCUCUGACAUGCACUGUGGGACCAGGUGUGUGCCUUUCCAAAUCAUGUCCAAUCAAUUUAAUUUACCACAGGUGGACUCCAAUCAAGUUGUAGAAACAUCUCAAGGAUGAUCAAUGGAAACAGGAUGCACCUGAGCUCAAUUUCAAGUCUCAUAGCAAAAGGUCUGACUACUUAUGUAAAUAAGGUAUUUCAGUUUUUUAUUUUUAAUAAAUUAGCAAAAAUGUCUAAAAACCUGUUUCGCUUACUCAUUAUGGGGUAUUGUGUGUAGAUUGAUGGAAAAAAAUAUUCUAUCCAUUUUAGAAUAAGGCUGUAACGUAAGAAAAUGUGGAAAAAGGGAAGGGGUCUGAAUACUUUCCAAAUGCACUGUAUGUUUGUGGACUUCACAGGACAGAUGUUGCUCUCCGGUUUUGCAAUGAAACAAAUGUGUGGUUGAAUUUAUUCUGCUACUGUGUCUUCUUAUUGUCUCGGCCUUAACCCUAUAUAUCAGUGUCAAGGAAUAUGAACUAACAGGUUAUAGAGCAAACAAUGCAAUUAUCACAACACAUAGGUUGUAACAUGUUUUUUGGGGGGGGGGGCUUGGCUUUCCAAGUGAUUUUACCCACGCACCUGGAGAGAAAGGUAGAGAGUUAAGAUAUCUGAAUACAAGAAUAAAGAGAUUGAGACCGGGAGUUGGGACUUGCGCAUUGUUUUUGACUUUUAAAGGUCAUUUAUGGUUGAGCCAACACCCUCAAUGUUUGCCGUGAAUCUCCGCAAACGUUGGAAAUAUUUUCUUUAAAAUGUGCAUCGUCCACAGUGGAAUGAGCUUGUUGACAAUGUGCAUUUGGUUUAAUCCUGGCCUGAAUUAAAGAGUGAGAGAGAGAGAGGGCAGACUCCUCGUCCUCUCGUCCCUCUGGCCAGAUUGACCGUGUGGUGCAGUGUGUAAAUUCUGCCUGGCUUCCUCUGUCCGCCCCAGGACACUGUCACACUUUAUCACCAUCUCCAUGGAGACAAGGAAGUGGGUUAACACCGGUCACACACUGCUAGGAGCGAUAAUGUGAGGGAACUUUUAAACACAGCAUCCUGAACAACACCACACAACCAACACAACUCAACGCAAACCUGAACGCAACUCAGUAUAUAUUACUGUUUAAUGCUCUCCCUCAGCCUUUCCCUCGGUCCCUCUCCCUCAGCCUUUCC